rnacentral:rRNA from 1 species
UACAGAGGUCUCAAGCGUUUGUUCGGAUUCAUUGGGCGUAAAGGGUGCGUAGGCGGCGCGGUAAGUCGGGGUGUGAAAUCUCGGAGCUUAACUCCGAAACUGCAUUCGAUACUGGCGUGCUUGAGGACUGGAGAGGAGACUGGAAUUCAUGGUGUAGCAGUGAAAUGCGUAGAGAUCAUGAGGAAGACCAGUGGCGAAGGCGGGUCUCUGGACAGUUCCUGACACUGAGACACGAAGGCCAGGGGAGCAAACGGG